rnacentral:rRNA from 1 species
CCUACGGGAGGCAGCAGUGGGGAAUUUUGGACAAUGGGCGAAAGCCUGAUCCAGCAAUGCCGCGUGAGUGAAGAAGGCCUUCGGGCUGUAAAGCUCUUUUGUCAGGGAAGAAACGGUGAGGGCUAAUAUCCCUUGCUAAUGACGGUACCUGAAGAAUAAGCACCGGCUAACUACGUGCCAGCAGCCGCGGUAAUACGUAGGGUGCAAGCGUUAAUCGGAAUUACUGGGCGUAAAGCGUGCGCAGGCGGUUUUGUAAGUCUGUCGUGAAAUCCCCGGGCUCAACCUGGGAAUUGCGAUGGAGACUGCAAGGCUAGAAUCUGGCAGAGGGGGGUAGAAUUCCACGUGUAGCAGUGAAAUGCGUAGAGAUGUGGAGGAACACCGAUGGCGAAGGCAGCCCCCUGGGUCAAGAUUGACGCUCAUGCACGAAAGCGUGGGGAGCAAACAGGAUUAGAUACCCUGGUAGUCCACGCCCUAAACGAUGUCUACUAGUUGUCGGGUUUUAAUUAACUUGGUAACGCAGCUAACGCGUGAAGUAGACCGCCUGGGGAGUACGGUCGCAAGAUUAAAACUCAAAUGAAUUGACGG